UGUUUGCUUUUUGUUUUUUACCAUUUGUUUGCUACCAUUAACAUUGAUUCUGUGAAUAAAUAAAUGUAUCAAUCACUUCACUGGUAAAUAUUUAGGAGAUUUCUGUUUUUCUUUUCUUACAGUACAGCUUCAGUGAGCUGUUCAUAUUUUCCUGUGACCAUGUUAGUAAUUUUUGUAAGUCAUAUGCCUAUAAAUGGAUGUGAAGAUAAUUAUAUUUUUAUCAUUACUAGAUAUAACCAAAUUGCUAUCCAAAAUCAUUAUAAUAAAUUUAUACCUUUACCAAUAUAGUUUAAAAUUUCUAAAUUCUCUGUGUACUUUCAGGAUUUAAUUUUUGUGAAUCCAAGAGAUUUACCUAUAACUUUUAUAUCUUAAAAUUUCCAGAAUUAGCUUUGGAGAAAAUGUGGUGAUACAUUAAGUGUAGAUAGGAAUAGAGCUCAUUAUUCAGUUUUUCAAUAUAGUUUGAAUAUUACUAGUCACAAUUAAAGUGUUUUUUACAUAUAGUCUUUUACAUAUGGUGUGUGUUCAUGUGUAUGUGUGUCAUGUGUUUGGAUAGUGCAUGCAUGACUACAUGUGUGUAAAUGCUCAAAGUCAACAGGAAUAUCCUAUGUACUUACUGUCUACUCUGUGUACUGACGCAGGUCUCUUGCUGACCCCAGAGUUCACUGAUUCAGACUAAUGGAGCUAGCUGGCCAGGUGCCUGCUCUUAUGUGGGCUCCAGGGAUCCAACCUCUGUUCCUUCAUGCUUGGACAGCAGGCACCUCGUUCACUCAGCAGUGUCCCCACCCUGAAAGUUUUGCUUUGUUGUUUUAAAUAGCCAUAUUAGUCCAAGCAUCUUAAAGGAGAGAAAUAGGAUAGUAUAUGCAUUGAAUUUUCAGAAUUCUUUAGUAUGUAUAAUACAAAGCGGAAUACAGAUAUUAUACUAUUUUGAUUUAUUUAUAUCUUGCUAGUUUAGCAUACUAAUUGCCAAGUACCUUUCUUAAUUUAAUUUUUUAAAUUUAUAAAAGUUCUCCCCCUUCCUUUUCCCCCUCCUACUCCUCCCAUGAGUCCAACUCAAAUUAUAGUUAAGAUUCGUCUACUGGUCCUCGAAGUGUACAGCUCUCCCUGUCAGUGUGAAAAUGUCUAUAAAGUGAACUUUGCUGUAUAUUGUCCCUCAUUUCUCUCAGUGAUUUAGAGUUUAUGUCAUGUUACUUUCACAAUCGUUCAACAUCUCGUUCUUUUCAUAGAUGAAAGAUGUCACUGAAGGAAUUGAUGUUCCAAAGAAACCUAGACUGGAGAAGCCAGAGACACGAUCCUCUCCCAUUACUGUCCAAACCAGCAAGGAUUUGAGUAUGGCUGACCUCUCCAGCUUUGAGGAGACUAGUGCUGAUGACUUUGCCAUGGAGAUGGGGUUGGCCUGUGUUGUUUGUAGGUAGGUUAUGCUCUACCACAGGGCGUUUUCAUUCUUUAGAAUGAGCAAACACUCUCCUCCUACUCUGUUUAUCUCUGUGCCCUCCCCCCCCAGUCAAAUAAUUUGUUGAGAAUUUUGUUUAUAUUUAUUACUUGGGAUGAAGAACAAAUAAGUAGACUGCAUCUUGUAAACUACACAUCUAAUCCUUGAACACUGAAAACUGUCAGCUAGUUUAUCUUCCAGACCACAGCUUCUUUAGUCUAGUGUGCUGUAUAAUGCUGUCUGCAUUCAUGAGGCUAGAGGGAGGGAGGAAGAAUCAAUCAUAAAUGUCAUUUCUAUCUUUUUUUUAAGCUGUCUUUAUUGCUUUUUCUUUUUUCUGAAAUGCUGAUGAGUCUUUAAAAAAAUAAACUAGUACAUGCCAUUUCUCAAAAAACACCACUACAUCUUUUCCUAAGAAUAGGCUCUCCUGAGUGACACUUUUACGCUGGAAUGCAUACUUAGAGAAGCAUGUAAUUCUGCCUGGUGGGAGAUCCUUUGGUUGGGGGUUUUGGCUUCGUUUUUGUUUGUUUGGUUUGGUUUUUUGUGUUUUUUUUUUCAUAAUUAAUUUUUGUGGCUAUUCUAAGAAAAAUAUUAACUUCUACUAUUGUAGUAUAUUGGAACUAAGGAAAUACAUGCUUUGGGAGCGUUACAGAAAAUGAGUUGAUGGCUUCUCCAUAAACUGUUUUCAUAUACAUUGUAUUUUUACCCCAAUCUGCUAUGAAAACAAGCAUCUUACAAUGACUAUUAACAGUAAAAGUACUAACAGGGAGAGACUUAGUGACUGUGUUUCCUUUUGUCAAGGCACAUAGUACAGUGCACUAAGCCUGUGGUGCUCGCUUUCCUGUGCUGCUGGGAUGUGUACCUUUUACUACACCUGCUAGAACAUUCUGUUCAAAUAGAUACUUUGGUCAGACUUAGACCAAACAUCUUGUAUUAAUUAGAAUAAAUGAUUAGCGUAGGUUCUCAUCUUUGGAUAACAUUUAAUUUUUUGUUUGUUGAUUUUUUAAGUAAGUUUUAUGAGACAGGUUCUUACUCUAAUCUAGGAUAGCCUAGAACAUCUAGCACAGGCUCUGCUUAAACACGCAGUGAUGCCCUUCUCUUAGUCAUGAAUUAUGCUGGAGUGACAAGUGUGAGUGUUCACACUCCGCUUACCUAACUUAUUAAUGAUGAAGGCAAAACACAUGUAGCUACCUAACAAGGGAAUGCAAUGGAGAUACUAAGAAAGUGCUGUCAUUAGUGUAGUCAGAGCCUACUACCUUUUGAAAAAUU
rnacentral:lncRNA from 1 species